AAUCAAAGCCAUGCCCUUCAGAUGUGGUUUCCCAAGCCUCCCUUGGUUUCAUGACUGCGAGGGACCUUCUGCAGCCACCUGGGCUGGUACGUGGAUGGGACCCUGUGACUGGAAGCCCCAACCCUGCAAAGGCAAGUCUAUAAAGAAAUAUGCACAAGCAGCAUCAUUCAGCAGGAUUUCAGACCAGAAAGAACCCUCCCGUCAGAGACUGGUGGCCAUACAAGGGUGCGCUGUGAAGCUUUCGAGACAGCAGACAGCCGGAGUCGUGAUCAGGGUGGCCAGGAAGGGAAACAACACGGUAGCAACCAGAGUGCCCUCCCAUGUGGAUUCCUUUGGUGACGAAUAAGCCAGUUGGUGUGCAGGGUGUUCACUGCAAGGCCCAGACAGGACUACAAGAGACCAGGACUGUCCUCAGUAUGUGAUCUCUCUCUCCUCUGGCGUCAGCUCUACCCAGGAACGGAUGUGAAGGCUGAAGCCCAGGCAAGGGCUCAUAGUGUGGGGACCGUGCAGCUGGAUUCAUGUCCAGUGGAAUUUGACACCAUGGCCGUCAUCAUCAUGUUUUGCCGUCAUCAGCACAGACCUCUGAGCAGAAAUGCCAGAACAAUGUGGGGCCACCCUGGAGAUUUAUUUUAUUUAUUUUUUAAAUUAAAUUAAAAUUGUUUUUAAGAGACGGGGUCUUGCUAUGUUGCACAGGUUGAUCUUGAACUUCUGGGCUCAAGCAAUCCUCCUGUCUUGGCCUCAGAGUGUUGGGAUUACAGACCUAAGCCACCGCGCCCGGCCUGGAGAUGUAUUUUAAACUGACAUCUUGGGAGAAAUAAAAGCCUUCCUUUUCCCUGUGUGUCGGUAGCGUAAGUAGUGAACUGGGAAGGAUUUCUCGGGGCCCCUGCCCUGAGCUCCUAGACCUUCUCUCCCACGCCAUGUUACACAACAAAAUCUGACUCUGAAAGAUCAAUUGGGUCCAGCUUGGGGUCUGAUGGGCAGACGGGCUUAAGCAAAGCCCCCACUUGACUUCAAGAGAGGAGCUUGGGGCCCACAUAGACAUCGAGGCCUGCACAACGUAGCUAAUUGGCCCUAACAUUUUUCUUUCUUGAAUUUUAAAUCCUUUUAGCAACAGAUUAUACAACAAAGGCUGAACUCAUUGGGGCCGUCAUUAGGCUGGCGGAAAACGCUGGCUUGGCUGUUCCUUGGCGAAUCUCCUUACCGGGUUAUUUAGAGGUGCCGUGUGUCUCUCUUGGGGACAUGCACACAAAUGUAAAGAAUGUCUCUGAGCCACAAUGACAUUUUCAUUAGCCGUGGCUCACAGAGGAGCCUUUCCUGGCAGUUCCAAUCCGGAAGGUUCUUAUCCUGCUCUCUGGCUUUCUUGCUCUGGGUGAAAGGCAGGCACCGUAAUCCAAGCCAAACACCCCGACCUUUGACCCCCACAUGGUGCUUGCUGUCAGGGUGGGGGUUCUUCUGGGGUGCAUGUCUGAGGCCUGACUGGGCUGCACACUGUCCCAGAGUGCCCUGCCUUUGGCCAGGACAAUUCACCUCAGCCCCUUUUGUCCCAACAGCUUUUGAUCUUGCCUGCCUGUCACCCAGGGAAAGAGCCUGCCUAGGCCCUGUCCCACACCUGCCUGCAAACUGACAGCCAUGGCUCCCCCAGCCCCACUGCAGCAGCCUUAACCCUUUCUCUGCCUGACCUGCAGGGCCUGCACCUACCUGUCUCCAGGGUGCUGGGGCCUCAGGCUUUGGCCAAACCAGAACAGGACUAGAAAAGAAUUCUUCUGAGGGUCCAAGGCCUCGUCCUACCGCCCCUACUGUGAGUGUGGGACUGACAAAGGAGUUUGGAGAGCAUGAGUCCCCUAGAAUGGAGCUCCCAGGAAAAGCCAAAGAGAAAGCCCCAGGCCACUGGGCCUGGACUUCGCCCCACGGCAAGGUCCCCGCCCACUGGCUAGGCAGGUGCUUUUGUGAAACUGACAUUUUCUCAGCUGCACCUCUACCGCUGCUGAUGAGCUUUUCAAUACACUCUUUCUUGUAUUGAGACAGAGCCAUGUUUUCAUAACUUGGCACUACAGCAAAGAAAGACAUGGGGUCCUUGCUGCUCAGUCCUGGUGCCCGGCCCAGUGUCUGGGGUGCCCACCUUGCCCAGCGUGUGCUGGGCAUGCAGGGGCACUUCCCUAGGGCCAAAACCUGGGAGCUUUCCUCCAGGCCAAGACGCAAGUCUCUUUGUUUUUACGGUAGCUUUGUUGAAAUGUAAUUUACAUACCAUGAAAUUCACCCGUUGAAGGCAUGCAAUUUAGAAGGUUUUAUUCAUAGAGUUGUAUGAAUUCUCUAUUUCCCAAGGCCAUUUUUUUAAAUAUAAG
rnacentral:lncRNA from 1 species